AACAAUUUGAAUGCCACUCUGAACGUGCCUAAUCUCGUCUGAUCUUGGAAGCUAAGCAGGGUCAGGCCUGGUUAGUACUUGGAUUGGAGACCACCUAGGAAUACCAGGUGCUGUAGGCG
rnacentral:rRNA from 1 species